UGCCAGACUCCUACGGGAGGCAGCAGUGAGGAAUAUUGGUCAAUGGGCUUACGCCUGAACCAGCCAAGUCGCGUGAGGGAAGACUGCCCUAUGGGUUGUAAACCUCUUUUGUCAGGGAGCAACGCCGGCUACGUGUAGCCGGACUGAGAGUACCUGAAGAAAAAGCAUCGGCUAACUCCGUGCCAGCAGCCGCGGUAAUACGGAGGAUGCGAGCGUUAUCCGGAUUUAUUGGGUUUAAAGGGUGCGUAGGCGGGAUGCCAAGUCAGCGGUAAAAAUGCGGUGCUCAACGCCGUCGAGCCGUUGAAACUGGCGUUCUUGAGUGGGCGAGGAGUAUGCGGAAUGCGUGGUGUAGCGGUGAAAUGCAUAGAUAUCGCGCAGAACUCCGAUUGCGAAGGCAGCAUGCCGGCUCCACACUGACGCUGAGGCACGAAAGCGUGGGUAUCGAACAGGAUUAGAUACCCUCGUAUC
rnacentral:rRNA from 1 species